AUCCUUGCGCAGUGGCAGUAUCGUAGCCUAUGAGGUUUAUCUGAGGCGCGAUUAUUGCUGGUUGAAAACAUAAGUAACAAUAAAGCAUAAAUCGAACUUUUGCUUGUCCAGGUCUGUAGAUAGCCUGGGCUA
rnacentral:snRNA from 1 species